GAGCCGCUAGCUCAGUUGGUAGAGCACCGGUCUUUUAAACCGGUGGUCCUGGGUUCGACCCCCAGGCGGCUCACCA
rnacentral:tRNA from 2 species